rnacentral:lncRNA from 1 species
UGUCACCAUCCCACCCCACCUGUCCCUGCCCCAUCCCAACCCAUGCCAUCCCACCUGUUCCUGUCCCCACCCUGUUGUGUCCCAUCCCUAUUUCUCCCCAUGUGACCCUGUCCUCAUCCUGUCCUGUCUCCAUCCCAUUCUGUGCUAUCCCAUUUCAUUUUGUUCCAUUCUAUCCCAUCCUGUUCCGUCUCAUCCCAUUCCAUUUUGUUCUACCCCUAUUCCAUCCCAUCCUAUCCCAUAGCACCCUACCCUCAUCCCAUCCUGUGCCAUCCCCUUUGAUCAUACUCCAUCCUGUCCUGCCCUGUCCCCCUCCCAUCCUGUGCAACCCCCUCUCAAGCUAUUUCAUCCCAUUCUGUUCUCAUCCCAUUCUGUUCUAUCAUUGCCUCAUCCCAUCCUGUACUGUCCCCAUCCCAUCCUGUGCUAUCCCAUCUAAUCCUAAUCCAUCCCUUCCCAUUCCCAUCCUGUCCUGUCCCAUCCCUAUCCCAUCCUGUUCCAUUCCAUCCUAUCCUAUCCCUGUCCUAUCUCAUCCCAUCCUGUCCCAUCCCACCCCAUCUGAUCCUAUCCCUGCCCUGUCCCCAUCCCAUCUGAUCCCAUUCAAUCUGAUGCUUUCCUCAUCCAGCCCUGUCCCCAUCCCACCCUGUCCCAUCCCAUCUCGCUCUGUUCCAUUCCAUCCCAUCCUGUCUCAUCCCAUUCCAUUCUAUCCCUGUCCCAUCUUCUCCCUGUCCCCAUCCCAACCUGUGCCAUCCCAUGCCAUCCUAUCCCAUUCUGUCCCAUGCCAUCCUAUCCCACCCUGCCCUGUCCCCACCCCAUUCCGUGCCGCCCCGUCCAACUCUGCUCCAUUCCAUCUUAUCCCGUCCUGUCCUAUACCCAUCCUAUGCCACACUGCCUGACCCUAUUCUAUCCCUUCCUGUCCUCACUCUAUCCUAUCCCCACCUCAUUCCGUGCCACCCCUCUGACCCAAUUCCCAUCUCACCCCAUCCCAUUCCGCCCCGUCCUGCCUUAUCCCAUUCAAUCCCGUCC